rnacentral:tRNA from 2 species
GCCACUGUAGCUUAAAGAAAGCAUGACACUGAAGAUGUUAGGAUGGACUGUCGAAAGUCUCGGAAGCA